rnacentral:lncRNA from 1 species
CAGACCUUGAUUGUUUGAUUAUCUUUGACUAGUGAGAUCGCGCCCAAUGAGAGCGCGCCACGUGGCAGCGCCUUUUUCCUCCCAAAUUAGGCUUUGUAAUUGGCAGAUUAGGGGAAACUCCCUGCGCCCCUGUUGCGAAUUAGGCGUAGCAAGAUGCUGCUUCACAAAGAAAGAAGAAGAUGCACGAGAGAGUGAUGCCUCUAGGUUGCGGCAGUCGCGAUUUGGGUCUGCUCUUGCUUCUUCUUGCAGGUCUGAUUGUGGUUUGUUGAGUUGUGCAGGUGGUG